rnacentral:rRNA from 1 species
AUGUUUCAGAAAGUAGAUGGAAAAACCCGCUGGAAAUUGGCUGGGCGUAAGUUCAGCGACUUAUCUCUCUCUACUCGCGCUUCAGACGAAGCAAGAACGCUCGAUGACCCUCCGCUUCCUCGAGCUAGCAUCAAGAUGGAGAUCUUGGUCAAGACGAUCACCAUCAAGGUUGAUCCAUCUGACACCAUCGACGUUGUCAAGACAAAGGUCCAAGAUCAGCAGCGCCUUGUUUUCAAUGGGGAGCAGCUUGAAGACGAGCGUACUCUGGCUGAUUAUGACAUCCAGGACGAAUCCACUCUCACCCUCGAUCUGCCCAUCCAAAGGAGGAGGGUGCUAAUCCGUGUCGAAACGCCAUUGCAAAUCCACCCUCUGUAA